ACGGGAGGCAGCAGUGAGGAAUAUUGGUCAAUGGCCGGAAGGCUGAACCAGCCAGGUAGCGUGAGGGAUGACCGCCCUAUGGGUCGUAAACCUCUUUUGACAGGGAAUAAAGUGAGGCACGUGUGCCUUUUCGCAUGUACCUGUCGAAUAAGCAUCGGCUAACUCCGUGCCAGCAGCCGCGGUAAUACGGAGGAUGCGAGCGUUAUCCGGAUUUAUUGGGUUUAAAGGGAGCGUAGGCGGAAGGUCAAGUCAGCUGUGAAAUGUAGUCGCUCAACGUCUGCACUGCAGUUGAAACUGGCCUCCUUGAGUGCGUAAGAGGCGGGCGGAAUUCGUCGUGUAGCGGUGAAAUGCUUAGAUAUGACGAAGAACUCCGAUCGCGAAGGCAAGUGUCCGGAGUGCGACUGACGCUGAGGCUCGAAAGUGCGGGUAUCAAACAGGAUUAGAUACCCUGGUA
rnacentral:rRNA from 1 species